GCCGGGCGCGGUGGCGCACGCCUGUAGUCCCAGCUACUCCGGAGGCUGAGACAGGAGGAUCGCUCGAGUCCAGGAGUUCUGGGCUGUAGUGCGCUAUGCGUGACUGCACUAAGUUCGGCAUCAAUAUGGCGACCUCCCGGGAGCGGGGGACCACCAGGUUACCUAAGGAGAGGUGAACUGGCCCAGGUCAGAAAUGGAGCAGGUCAAAACUCUCGUGCUAAUCAGAAGAAAAUCUGCGUUUAUUUCCCAAUUCUCCAGUGGCCAGAAGGAAGU
rnacentral:SRP_RNA from 1 species